UACGGGGGGGGCAAGCGUUGUCCGGAAUUAUUGGGCGUAAAGAGCUCGUAGGCGGUUUGUCGCGUCUGCUGUGAAAACUCGGGGCUUAACCCCGGGCCUGCAGUGGGUACGGGCAGACUAGAGUGCGGUAGGGGAGACUGGAAUUCCUGGUGUAGCGGUGAAAUGCGCAGAUAUCAGGAGGAACACCCGUGGCGAAGGCGGCUCUCUGGGACGGUACUGACGCUGAGACGCGAAAGCGUGGGGAGCGAACAGG
rnacentral:rRNA from 1 species